rnacentral:Y_RNA from 2 species
GGCUGGUCCGAGGGCAGUGGGGUUUACAACUGAUUGAUCACAGCCAGUUACAGAGUUCUCUGUUCCUUCUCCACUCCUGCUGCUUCACUUGACUAGCCUCAA